rnacentral:rRNA from 1 species
UACGGGGGGGGCAAGCGUUGUUCGGAAUUACUGGGCGUAAAGGGUUCGUAGGUGGCUUGCUCAGUCAGACGUGAAAUCCCUCAGCUUAACUGGGGAACUGCGUCUGAUACUGGCGAGCUUGAGUGCAGGAGAGGAACGCGGAAUUCCAGGUGUAGCGGUGAAAUGCGUAGAUAUCUGGAGGAAUACCGGUGGCGAAGGCGGCAUCCUGGACCGACAUUGACGCUGAGGAGCGAAAGCUAGGGGAGCAAACGGG